rnacentral:rRNA from 1 species
UACGAAGGGGGGCUAGCGUUGCUCGGAAUUACUGGGCGUAAAGCGCACGUAGGCGGGUUGUUAAGUCGGGGGGUGAAAUCCUGGAGCUCAACUCCAGAACUGCCUUCGAAACUGACGAUCUUGAGUUCGGGAGAGGUGAGUGGAACUGCGAGUGUAGAGGUGAAAUUCGUAGAUAUCAGGAAGAACACCCGUGGCGAAAGCGGCUCUCUGGAACGGUACUGACGCUGAGACGCGAAAGCGUGGGGAGCAAACAGG